rnacentral:lncRNA from 1 species
UUUUUAAUAUUUAUUUUCUAUUUUAUAAAAUGUUAAACCUCAAACCCAAAUCUCCUAGAUUAUAACCUAACCCUUCUAGUUAUUAUUUGCAGGUUUCCUCAUAGUGGAUCACUGCAUGAUUAUCCCUGAUGAAUGGACUUUCACCGACUCUCGUUAGAAUUUUGUAUAACUGAUAAGGAUAAAAUGUCAGAGAUUGUACAUAUUCGCCCUGGUAUGGCUUUGCUUGAAUUAUAAAACAAUGUUGUCAAGGAGUUCUUCACUGUCACAGCUCCUGCAACUCAUGCUGUCUUGAGUUAUUGGCUUCCUAACACUAAAAAGCUUGCUACCGG